GGAACCCUUGGGAGUUUCUUAUGCAUGGAUAAGAUAAUAAUCCCUUACAAAACCUUUUUUCCAGAUUUUAAGCCCCCAAAAUUAGGGGGUUCCUUAUACACAUUAAAAUAUGGUAUAUGUAUAUAAAAUAUAUAUA